rnacentral:tRNA from 1 species
CCUUUGAUAGCUCAGCUGGUAGAGCAGAGGACUGUAGGCUAUCUCUAGAAUGUAAUCCUUAGGUCGCUGGUUCAACUCCGGCUGGAAGGA